rnacentral:rRNA from 1 species
CAGUAGCCGCGGGAACACGAAGGGGGCUAGCGUUGCUCGGAAUCACUGGGCGUAAAGGGUGCGUAGGCGGGUUUUUAAGUCAGAGGUGAAAUCCUGGAGCUCAACUCCAGAACUGCCUUUGAUACUGAAAGUCUUGAGUAUGGGAGAGGUGAGUGGAACUGCGAGUGUAGAGGUGAAAUUCGUAGAUAUUCGCAAGAACACCAGUGGCGAAGGCGGCUCACUGGCCCAUUACUGACGCUGAGGCACGAAAGCGUGGGGAGCAAACAGGAUUAGAUACCCCCGUAGUCCCUGUCUCUUAUAC